AGCAGCCGCGGUAAUUCCAGCUCCAAUAGCGUAUAUUAAAGUUGUUGCAGUUAAAAAGCUCGUAGUUGAAUUUCGGGGUUUAUCCGUUGGUCGGGCUUUUGGUCUAUACUGGCGUGAUGGAUUCCUACCUUCUGAAUAACCGGCAUGCCAUUAAUUUGGUGCGCCGGGGAAGCAGGACUGUUACCUUGAAAAAAUUAGAGUGCUUAAAGCAGGCUUACGCUUGAAUACAUUAGCAUGGAAUAAUGAAAUAGGACGUUUGAUCCUAUUUUGUUGGUUUCUAGGAUUGACGUAAUGAUUAAUAGGGAUAGUCGGGGGCAUUAGUAUUCAAUUGUCAGAGGUGAAAUUCUUGGAUUUAUUGAAGACUAACUACUGCGAAAGCAUUUGCCAAGGAUGUUUUCAUUAAUCAAGAACGGAAGUUAGGGGAUCGAAGACGAUCAGAUACCGUCGUAGUCUUAACCAUAAACUAUGCCGACUAGGGAUCGGAUGAUGUUAAUUUUUUAAUGACUCAUUCGGCGCCUUA
rnacentral:rRNA from 1 species